rnacentral:rRNA from 1 species
UGAGAAGGCCUUCGGGUUGUAAAGCUCUUUCAGCAGGAACGAAACGGUGGCCACUAAUACUGGCUACUAAUGACGGUACCUGAAGAAGAAGCACCGGCUAACUACGUGCCAGCAGCCGCGGUAAUACGUAGGGUGCGAGCGUUAAUCGGAAUUACUGGGCGUAAAGCGUGCGCAGGCGGUUCCAUAAGACAGAUGUGAAAUCCCCGGGCUUAACCUGGGAACUGCGUUUGUGACUGUGGGACUCGAGUGUGGCAGAGGGGGGUGGAAUUCCACGUGUAGCAGUGAAAUGCGUAGAGAUGUGGAGGAACACCGAUGGCGAAGGCAGCCCCCUGGGUCAACACUGACGCUCAUGCACGAAAGCGUGGGGAGCAAACAGGAUUAGAUACCCUGGUAGUCCACGCCCUAAACGAUGCGAACUAGGUGUUGGGGAAGGAGACUUUCUUAGUACCGCAGCUAACGCGUGAAGUUCGCCGCCUGGGGAGUACGGUCGCAAGAUUAAAAACUCAAAGGAAUUGACGGGGAC